UACGGAGGGGGCUAGCGUUGUCCGGAUUUAUUGGGCGUAAAGAGCGUGUAGGCGGCCAGGUAGGUCUGGUGUGAAAACUCGAGGCUUAACCUCGAGAUGUCAUCGGAAACCAUUUGGCUAGAGUCCGGAAGAGGAGAGUGGAAUUCCUGGUGUAGCGGUGAAAUGCGCAGAUAUCAGGAAGAACACCAAUGGCGAAAGCAGCUCUCUGGGACGGUACUGACGCUGAGACGCGAAAGCGUGGGGAGCGAACAGG
rnacentral:rRNA from 1 species